rnacentral:rRNA from 1 species
AUUGAACGCUGGCGGCAUGCUUUACACAUGCAAGUCGAACGGUAACAGGCCGCAAGGUGCUGACGAGUGGCGAACGGGUGAGUAAUGCAUCGGAACGUGCCCAGUCGUGGGGGAUAACGCAGCGAAAGCUGCGCUAAUACCGCAUACGAUCUAUGGAUGAAAGCGGGGGACCGUAAGGCCUCGCGCGAUUGGAGCGGCCGAUGUCAGAUUAGGUAGUUGGGGGGGUAAAGGCUCACCAAGCCAACGAUCUGUAGCUGGUCUGAGAGGACGACCAGCCACACUGGGACUGAGACACGGCCCAGACUCCUACGGGAGGCAGCAGUGGGGAAUUUUGGACAAUGGGCGCAAGCCUGAUCCAGCAAUGCCGCGUGCAGGAAGAAGGCCUUCGGGUUGUAAACUGCUUUUGUCAGGGAAGAAAUCUUCUGGGUUAAUACCUCGGGAGGAUGACGGUACCUGAAGAAUAAGCACCGGCUAACUACGUGCCAGCAGCCGCCGUAACAC